UUAAUACUUCCUCCGUCUUAAAAUUAAUGUCUUAGAUUUGUUUAGAAAUAAAUAUAUCUAAAUAUUAAAAUAUGACUAGAUACAUUCAUAUCUAAACAAAUGUAAGACAAAUUUUUUGAGACGGAUGGAGUACUAG
rfam:Hordeum vulgare subsp. vulgare, WGS project CAJW01000000 data, contig: morex_contig_1580048